rnacentral:lncRNA from 1 species
AGUACUACUAAAACUCUCUAGUUCUUUCAUUUCUUUAAAUUUGAUAUUGAUAUUUUAUCUUUAUUUUAUAACACAUUAUCAGUACGAGACUCUGUCAAACAAGAUGAGAUUAUCAACCUAAAGGUAAUUUUAAGGUUAGUAAUUCCUUAUUUGUGUUUUGCUACUGAUGAUAUAAUUAUUGUUGGAUUUGAUGAAAAAUAAUUGGUUUGAAACCAAUUAUACUUUAAAUUUGUUCAUGAAGAACAAUAUUGUUAAAAGAUAUAAUGAUGGAUUUAAGUCUCAUCUCAUUAAGAGGGUAAGACAUUGGAUUAAAAGUUUCAAUGCACCAUGAUGAUAAGAUGUUGGGUUCAAAGUUCCAUCGAUUUAUGUCUAAAACACCUUUAUAUGAAUAAGACAUUGAGUUUGAAUCUCAAUGCACCAUAUUGAUAAUAUAACGAUGGCUAAGGCAAAAUAAUGUGUAUUUCAUAAAAAGUCAUGAAACAUAUCUCAUUUAUAUGCUCUAUUCCAUGAAGUGAAUAUGGUAGCAAUACAUGAUGAAUCUGAAAGUUGACAACUUGCUCUAUUCUUAAAAGGAAUGUGAUAGAAGUGCAUAAUAUGUCUGAAAGAAGAUAAGUGAUUGAAUGCACGAAUAUAAGCGUGAAGGGACAAUAUAAUAAUAAUCAUCAAAAGUGAUAUGGACGCUAACUCGAAAAACCUUUUCGCGAAGCCUCAAAAUAACGCUAGUGGAACCCGAGCUUUGAAUAAUUUAUUCGGAUAAUUAAUCUUUAAUUUGAUGCUCAAAUAAUGUCAAAAUAUUUUAGCCCUUAAACUGUUACUACCGAAUAUGUAUAUAUGUGUGCGAUAUAUGUUUACAUAUAAGAAUACUAGCACUUAGAUUGCCCUUUUUGUUAAAAAAAGAAAGACUAUUUUUGAAAGGCACUACCAAGUAUAUAUAUAUAUAUGGCCAAAGUCAUCGAUAAACACUCAAACUUGUUUCGAAAAUUCACUUAGACCCCUCAACUAUGGCCUGUACCUAUCAGGCCCCUAAACCCCCCGAAUUUUGAUCCAAUUAGAUCUUUUUUGCCUACAUGGCACUGUGCGUGUUUUUCACUCACUAGGGGCGCGUGAAACACAAUUUUUGACUAAAUAACAAAUAAAAACGUGCUAAAUGGCACUGAAAGCCCCCAAAAAAUUAAUAAAACAAGUUUUUUUAAAAUAAUCUUUUUCUCUUCCUCUUUCUUUUUCAUUUUCUUUUUAAAUAAUGUUUUCUCUCUCUUCUUCUUAAUUUUUUUUCUUACAGCUCUUUCUUUGCCAUUUCUUAAGCUCUUUCUUUCUCUUCCAUUUCUUACUGUUUCUUUCUCAUUUUCCUUUUAAAUAAUUUUUUUUUUCCUCUUCAUAGAUUACAAUUAUCUCCCCCACCACUCCACACCAAAUAUUUACGAUCUAACUUCUCGUGAUAAGUUUCAUCGAAAUUAAAAAUAUUUAUUUUGGGUAUUGAACUUAUGAUGAAAUAAGUGUGAUAAAUUAGAUAAGAUUUAUUGAAAAAAUAUCUUUGGAACUAAAAAUUUGAUGAAGUCCAAAAAUAUCAAAAUUUGAGAAUUUUUAAUUGAAGUCUUGAGCUGUUUCUGUUGAAAUGUUGGAAAUUUGGAGGUGAAAUUUAGUGAAAAGAUUCAAACUUUAGGAAAAUAUAAAGUGAAUUUUUGAUAAGUUUUGAUGUAUUUUUUUAUUGAAUUGGCAUUAUGAGACUCGUGUUGUGAGGAGAAGUUUUUGGCAAUUUUGAGCUGAUUUUGUUGAAGUGUGUCAAGAUUUGGAGGUGAAUUUGAUGCCUUUUUUGUUAGAUUGGUAUUGCCAGAUUCGUGUAGUCAGACAUUUCUGAUGUUUUUGAGCUGAUUUAGUUGAGGUUUAGGUGAAUUUGGUGCAUUUUUUGUUAUAUUGACAUUACCAGAUUAGUGUGGGGGAGGGGGGGUUGAAGAAGACGACGACUGGGGGAUGGAUUUUUUUUUUUUAAAUUAAGAAAUUAUUAUUAAAUAAAUAAUUAAAUAGAAAAAUGGAUAAAUUAGCAAUUUCAUCAUAUAAUUAUUAUUUUUGCCACGUAUUUUUUCGAAUUGGUUAAUUUUUUCACGUCAUCGCGUGUGUAUUACACACANNNNNNNNNNNNNNNNNNNNNNNNNNNNNNNNNNNNNNNNNNNNNNNNNNNNNNNNNNNNNNNNNNNNNNNNNNNNNNNNNNNNNNNNNNNNNNNNNNNNNNNNNNNNNNNNNNNNNNNNNNNNNNNNNNNNNNNNNNNNNNNNNNNNNNNNNNNNNNNNNNNNNNNNNNNNNNNNNNNNNNNNNNNNNNNNNNNNNNNNNNNNNNNNNNNNNNNUCUAUUAUAUAAUAAUAAUAUUUUAAUAUUUUUAAAUUUACUAUCUCCACUUAAAAUAUAAUAAAUCAUAAAAAUCUAUUAUAAAGUAAUAUAAAUAUAUCGUCACAUAAAGAAUAUUACCUAUAUCAAAAAUAUUCUAGAGGGGUACUAAAUUAUAUUCCUACCAAAUGCCAAAUUAAAUUAAUAAUCCACGAUACAUUUAAAUAGUACUAAAAUUCUAUGAAAAUAUAGGAAAAUGACCGUAAGGGUCAUUACAAUAUCCAUUACUAAAAGGACUUUCGUUCGCGAAAGUAAAAUGUAAGGUCAUACCUGAAGGCUCAAACAGGUAGGGAUACUGUGUGCCCAUAUCACACUUGAUCUCCCAAGUAUCCUCCUCAACUGGACGGUGACACCACUGAACCUUAGCUACCAGAAUGUCACUGGAGCGCAAUCGCCUUACAUCCCUCGCCAAAAUAGACGCUGGCUACUCUACAAACGCCAAUCCCUCAUCCAACUGAACCGAUUCCCACUGAAGUAUUUGUGACUCAUCUAUAAUAUACUGACGCAACAUAAAUACAUGAAACACCGGGUGAAUGCCUGAGAAGGCAGGUCGCAAUGCCAACACAUAAGCUACUUCUCCAACUCUUUGUAGGAUCUCAAAAGGUCCAAUAUAUCUAGGGCUAAGCUUGCCCUUCCUCCCGAACCUCAUCACGCCCUUCAUGGGCGAUACUCGUAGAAAGACCCUAUCACCAACUCUGAAACUCAAUGGACGACGUCUGCGAUCAGCAUAACUCCUCUGUCUGCUCUGAGUUGCUCGUAGCUUGUACUGAAUCACUCGAACCCGGUUCAACAAAUCACAAAUCAAAUCUGUGCCACAAGGCCUAGCCUUAGAAAUCUCAAACCAACCAAUAGAAGAUCAAUAUCGUAUACCAUACAAUACCUCAAAUGGGGCCAUCUGAAUACUCGAGUGAAAGCUAUUAUUAUAUACAAACUCUGCCAAAGGUAGAAACUGGUCCCACUGACCUCCAAAAUUAACACACAAGCGCGUAGCAUAUCCUCUAAGACCUGGAUAGUCCGCUCUGACUGCCCAUCCGUCUGGGGAUGAAAGGUUGUGCUAAGGUCAACCUGGGUCCCCAACUCCUCCUGAAAUGCCUUCCAAAAGCUAGAAGUGAAUUGGGAGCCUCGGUCAGAAAUAAUGGACACAGGAACCCCAUGUAGGUGAACUACCUCCUGAAUAUAAACACGAGCUAACUUCUCGGAACUGUAGAAAACUCGAACAUGGAUAACAUAUGCAGACUUGGUUAAUCGAUCCACGAUGACCCAAAUGCUAUCAAAACCACGUGAAGUACGAGGCAAUCCACCUACGAAAUUUAUAGUUACUCGCUCUCAUUUCUACUUGGAAAUGGGUAGCUGCUGAAGCAAUCCACCAGGCCUCUUAUGCUCGGCCUUUACCUGCUGAUAACAAAGACAUCGCACCACAAACCCUAUUAUAUCUCUCCGUAUACCACUCCACCAGUAAUGCUGCCUCAAAUCCCUAUACAUCUUAGCUAUCUUGGGAAGAAUAGAGUAUCUGGAGCUAUGAGCCUCACGAAGAAUCAACCGAAUCAAAUCUCCAACCCUUAAAACACAAAUACGAUCGUCAAACCUCAAGACACCCUUAGAAUCUAGGGUAGCCUGCUGAGACUCACCCCUCAACACCUGCUCUCGAAUGCUACAAAGUCUGCUAUCCUCAAACUGACGACUCUAAAUCUACUCCAAUAAGGUAGAUCUGGCCUCAACACUUGUAAUGAUUCUCCGAGGGUCAGAAAUAUCCAAACGAACCAUCAUAUUAGCUAAGGACUGAAUGUCCAAAGCCAACGACCGCUGAGAAGCUUAAAUGAAAGCUAAGCUACCCAUACUCACUGACUUCUGACUCAAGACAUCCGCUACCAUAUUUGUCUUGCUCGGAUGGUAGAGAAUAGAGAUAUCAUAGUCCUUCAGCAACUCAAUCCACCUGUGCUACCACAAAUUAAGCUCCUACUGGGUCAUAAUAUAUUGAAGACUGUGGUGAUCAAUAAAUAUCUCAUAGCGAACCCCAUACAAAUAAUGCCUCCAAAUUCUAAGCACAAAUACUACCGCUGCCAACUCUAAAUCAUGAGUGAGGUAGUUGCGCUCAUGCACCUUCAACUGUCUCGAUGCAUAUGCAAUAACACGACCACACUGCAUCAGAACAUACCCCAAACCAACACCAGACACAUCACAGUAAACAGUAAAACCCUCACCCUCAACAGGAAGAGUCAGAAUAAAAGAUGAAGUAAAUAAAUCCUUGAACUUCAUAAAGCUCGCCUCACAACUCGCAGACCACUGAAAUAGACACUCCUUCCUAGUCAAUCUAGUCAUAGAGGCUGCAAUAGAAGAAAAAGCCUCAAUAAACCGUCUGUAGUAACCUGUCAACCCAAUAAAACUGCGAACCUCAGAAGGUGACGUAGGCCUAGCCCAACUAUUGGCUGGGUUACCUGGAGCUCUAUCAAUCCUCGGAGCUAUAACAGGAUCUGGUGAUGGAUCCCUGGCCUGAUCUCGAACAUGGGCUGCUGCUCUACCCUGCCCCUGAUGUCUAGGUCGACCUCGACCCCAAGCUAGAACUCUAAAAGCGGACCCGGGGUCUCGACCCCUUGCUCUCGAACCUCGUGUCCUAGCCAUCUGCGUAAAGAGUGAACCAAAUAAAAUAUUACAAGUAACCUAGACUCAAAACACAAAAAUGGAUCAAGAAAAUGAGAUUUUUCCCUAAAAAUGUCUGUAGCCUCCCAAGGGUAGGAUACAGACGUCUCCGUACCGAUUUGCGGGACUCUACUAAACACUGGCUCCAGUACUAGGUAGACCAAUCAGUUACCAAAGAAAUAAUUCUUGAAAAGAAUAAGGAACGAAUAAUCAUAAUAAGAAAACAAUGUGCUCUUGAAGAGCCUACAAAAUAACACUUCAUGAAACCUUAUGAGAGGUUCAGGUACCUGAAAAAAUAAAGUAAUGAGAUCUCAAUAUGUUAUAUCGCAUUGUGAACCGAUACAAAAUGAUAAACGUCGAUGAUAUCUUUGAUACAAUAUUGACACAAUAUUACGAGGAUCUAAAUUCUACAUUAAUUUAAACAUGCUGACGUAGAAACAUUUAUCAAAUGACAUAAAAGAAUGCAUCUUGAUAAGCAUAACACUUAUUUGAUUUGCAGUCCAGACACUUGAAGAUGUCACAGAUGAAAUGUUGAAUAUUGUCAAUUGACAAAAUUUACAUGAAAACUUAUUUUAGGAUUCAAAAUGUUUAAAGCAUGUAAAAGUUUCUGAAAAACUUAUCUAUAAUUCUUAUAUUGCAUAAAUCUAUACUUCAAAAUUAUUGAAACUCUUGGACAGUUUUCAAAAACAAUAGAUUAUUUGGUGACAUGAGAAAUAUACCGAAUUGAAUUGGUUAUGAAGUACCAUAUGUUAGUGCAAUUGAUGUACUAAUGUAUCUUGCAAAUACUACAAGGUCUAAUAUUGCCCUUUUCAAUUAUUUAGUUAGCAAGGGAUAAUUCUGCUCCUUCUAGGAGACAUCGAAAUUGAAUCAAACACAUGAUCUUAUUUUAUUCUAAAGAUUGAAUUCCUAAUCUUAUUGAUUAUACUGAUGCUGGAUAUUUAUUUAACCCGCAUAAAUCUCGAUCUCAAAUAUGCAAUGUGUUGAUAUGUGAGAAUAUUGUCAUAUCUUGGAGAUAUACAAAGUGGUCUUUCUAGCACUUCAUCAAAUCAUGCUGAGCUAAUAGUUAUUCAUGAAAUAAGCCGAGAAUAUGUAUAGUUGAGGUCCAUGAUACAUCUCAUUCGAAAAAAAUAUUGUUUGAAAAUGUACCCACCAUUUUAUACGAAGAUAAUGCAACAUGCAUAACACAUCUUCAAGGAGAAUUCAUUAAAAGGAGAUAGAACGAAGCAUACUUCGUCAAAGUUUUUCUAUACAUAUGAGCUACAAAAGAAUGGUGAUAUUAACGUGAAACAGAUUCGUUCGAGUGACAAUUUGACUGAUUUAUUCACUAAAUCUCUUUCCGCUGCAACUUUCAAGAAGAUGAUGCGCAAGAUCGGGAUGCAAAGAUUCAAGUCAUUAAACUGAAGUUCUCAUUAGGGGGAGUAAAAUACACGUUGUACUCUUUUUUCCUUAACCAAGGUUUUGUCCCAAUCGAAUUUUCCUGGUAAGGUUUUUAAUGAGGAACACUAAAGGCGUAUUACAAGAUGUGUGCAUUCUUUUUCCUUCAUUGGGCUUUUUCCCAUUGAAGGGGGAGUAUUAUAUAAUAUGGAUAUCAUAUAACAUGUAUAUGUGUGAAAUAUUAGAGAUAAUAAUUAGUAGUCAAGAUAGGAUUUUAAGACCAAAACAUUCCUUGUUCAAUUUGGAUUUGAAAACCUAAAAUAGUUGGCCAACUUGCCAACUUGAAGUCAAGUUUGGCAAGCUUAUAAACUUAAGUUUGGUGUCUAUAAAUAGCCACCAUUUAUACAUAUUAUUGACAUAUCCAAAUAGUAACAAAAGUACUACUAAAAUUCUCUAAUUCUCUCAUUUCUUUAAAUUUGAUAUUGAUAUUUUAUCAUUAUUUUAUAACAGGAAAAUUAUACUAGAGGCAGUCAAAUGCAAAACAAUAAUUGGGAACAUCACCACAUGUAAUAAUAAUAAUAAUUGAAAAAGUAUAAGAUUUGCAGUAUAAAAAUAUAUUCAUAAACUUGGGCAAUAAUAAUUUGCCAUUACAUCACCAGUAACAAUAUGCAAGCAAAGCUGCGGGCUACAAUUUUUCCCCACUAAAUUUUGUCCUUUUGCAGCCACUUCAGCCUCUAUAUAACUUUUCACUUCACCUUUAACUUUUAACCACACACACUUACAGCAUCACAUAAGGGGAAAAAAGCAAAAAUACAUUAAAACAAAAGAAAAAGUAACAAUUUUAACCCAUUUCCCAGAAAGUUGAUAGUAACAAAAAAGAAAAAGAAACUAAUCCCGCUAUAAUUCAAAUUUUCCCACAUAAAAACGAGAAAUUGAAGACAGGAAAUCAUGUGAAUUUUUCUUUUUUUUCUUUUUUUGGGUCAAUAUAAUAAUUAUUUUGGUGAGAUUAAACGCGGAAAUUCUUGCCCUGGAAAGUUUGGCCAAAUUGCCAGUUAGCUGGCGCUAUGUUAUAUGAAGCGGAGCUGCGUUUAUCACUUGCAGUGACUCUAAAAGAAAGGGCUUGUCCAACAAGCAUUGCAUUUGUUUGCCAAUUUUGUCCCCAAUUACGAUUCAUCGAAAUCCAUUGAGUCUUUGUGCCUUUAACAUACACCUUCUGAAUGUCCCCAGCACCUGCAACGUUGGUCACUAACACCAAGUUAAAGUAUUUGAAACCGUUAACAGUGAAUCUGAUUCCUCCUUGUUUCCUGCAUGGAACCCUAUAAAAGAGCAGCAGAACACAUUUAGUACGAAAUACCGUAAGAUUUAAAUCAAAAUUACUGAAUUCUGCUGAAUCUUUUAACUUUGACGUUCACUAGCAUUAAGGGCAAAUGCACCAAAAUACAAAGACGCGUUUUCCAAUUUGAUCAAAUUUACCUGCAGAAUAUAGGUGAAGAUAAGGGACCAUUUGUAGAUUUUUUAUGAAGGUAUCCCAUAACUAGGACUUGUGGGUUUUAUUGGUUAGCAACCUAAGUUCAUAGGCCUAAAAUAGCCAAUUGCUAAAAUUGGGGAGAAAAUAGGACCACAUAAAAUUUUUUCUAAUAAAAAAACUUAAAACAGAUUCUAUAGCAUUCAAUAACGGCAUUAAUGAAAAUCCGGGAAAUUGGACAUUUCUCAAAUAGGAGAACUUCUUAAAUCAUGACUAAUGCAUGCCACAUGUGAUCGGUGUCUCAAUUUAUGUGAAGCACUUCAAUUAAAUAUAGAAUUUGUAGAAUUUUUUUUUAUUUUUAAACUUAUAAUCUAAAAAAAAAUUAUAACUAUGUAAAAUGUAUCACAUUAAUUAAAAUAUAUAGAAUAAUAAUACGUAGCAUUAUAGUUAAGUUAUACAUAUCACAUUAAUUGAAACAUAUAGAAUAAUAAUACGUAGUAUUACAGUUAUUAUAUGGAAAGUUUAGUUUAAGUAUUACAGUUAUCAGCUCUGUACCCAUUUACUACGUCAACAUUAUCCUUCAGGAAACUGGAAAGUUUAGUUUAAGUAAACCCAAAGCCUAAUUACUUGUUAAACCUUGUGUAACACGCCACAAACUGUUGCAAAUAACAAGAUGCCAAACAUUUUUUUGGACUUGCGCUUCUUUAGCCUUACGUAAGUCCAUCCCAAAUUUUCUAAUUUGAUUUCUCAUUUUAUUUGUCUUUUUUAAUUAAUCAAGUAGAGAUAAAUUUUAUUUCAUGUUUUACCAUUGUAUUAAUUAUUUUAUCUUUAAAUUAAAAUGUAAAUAUCAUUUAAUAGAGAUAAUAUAGUAAACUAGUCGUGUUAUUAAUUAUUUUUCUUAAUUAAUAUGCCAUUUUAAUUUGGGACUGAGGGAGUAUUAUAAAAAAGCUAUUUUUACAUAUAAUUAUUCACAAUAAGUGAUUAACUACUCCCUUUAUUUCAUUUUAGUUGUCUCAUUUCUAAAAGUAUUUAUUUCAAUUUAGUUGUCUUUUAAAUGAAGUCAAGAAUAUUUUAUUACGUUAUUCAAUACUAUCAUCAAUAUUAAAUAACUAAAUAAAAUGUAUUUACUAAAAUUUAUAUUUUUAAAGUAUAAUUAAUAAAACUAAUUUAAUAAAAUAAAUCAUUAAUAAAUAUUUUUUAAGAAGGGUGUCAAGUUAAAAAUAGCCAACUGUUUUGAAAUGGAUGGAGUAUAUAUUUAAUUUUACCAAAAUAAAAGAAAGAAGGCAGUGCAAUAGCAACAGCAAUAGCAAAAGAAUGUAGUGCAAUAAGUAACACUACUUCUUCCUUAGUUAGAAGUCUAAAUAACGAGUCUCAAUAUGGAAAAACCAUUAUAGGGAGGGAGGAGGGGGUGAGUACUAACCUUCGGUAGUUAACAGGAACAAUUCCAGCACGGUAGACAGCAAUUUUGAGGAACAUAGGCAUGGCAAGGUCGAAAUGUGGGCGAGGUGGGUUGCACCAUCCUCCAUUAUCAUUAGGCAAAGCGUAGUUUGGUGGGCAGAAAUUUGUUGCUGUUACGAAGAUGGAUGGGUUACCAGGGUUGCAAUAUUCCUUAGCGUUGGUACACUUAAUCUCGAAACAAGCGCCACAGCUUAACCCAUUGUUGAAAAGAGCCGUACUCAGUGCCGCGUUGUUUACUCCGUAACCUUGGCUGUACAGAUUCCCAUAGCCACAAGCCCCACCUAUACACACACAAAAAGAGAAAACAGAAAUUGUAAAUUCAUCAGUAAUUAACCUUCUAAUUUAAGUAAAAAAUGGCGCUAAACUAUUAUGAUUGUAAUUUUGAGGAGAAAACAGAGCAAGGGAUAUAAAAACACAGUGACGAGGCGAAGCGAGGUAGGGCCUGGAAGGAGUUUGGAAAAAUUAAUACAGUAAUAUUUUAUUUGAUCAACACAAUAUUUAAGAAAUAAGUAUUGACUUUAUUCAAGUUGCAAAAUUAUCUUCUUAAAAAAAGUAAUAGUAUUUAAAAUCAAGUGGGAUUUGAAAAAACAAAUAAAAAAAGGAGCAAUAGUAUUUAAAAUUAAGUGGACUACUAAGGGUAAAAUUAUAAUUUUCAUUUAAAAACUUACCAAAUAAGGAAAGACGAUAUUGUUUUUGGAACGAACCAAAAAACAAAUUACAACACAUAAUUUGGAAUGAAGGAAAUACAAAAUGAAGGAAGUACAAAUUUAGUGAGGUUUGACUGUGUUUCAUUGUGAAUUUUUUUUUAAGAAAUUAGUUUUUGUUUUUAAAGUAAAAAAAAAUGAUAUUUUGAUAAUUGAAAUUGUGUUUGGUCAUGAAUUUAAAUUAAAGUUGUUUUUAAAUAUUUUUGAAUAAUUUGGAGCAAAAGAAGGUAAAAUAACUUUUUAUUGUUUUGCAAAUUCUUAAAAUUUCAGAAAUUGAAUUCCGAAAUUUUACCACCAAACAUGUUUUCCAAAGUUCAAAAUCGAAAAAAAAAUUCUAAAAAAAUUGCAUGGUCAAACGCAUAUUUACACUUGAGGUUGAGGAGUACCAAAAUAUGUAUAGUCUGUCUAGUUUAAGUUGAAAACCGAUAAUUUUGCACUAAAAUGUUGACAAGAUUAGAGACGCAGGUAGCAUACCCAUGGUGCCAGAAGCAUCAGAGCCACCAUAGAAGGUAGCAUGGGCACUAGUCCAGGGUCCGCCAGUGUAAACGCCGGGGAUUUUGGCGGUAACGGCAGUGACAAAACAG